GUACUUGCGGGAAGGCAUAGUAAAUCAGCUCAUCCCAUGGGACUAGAAAUGCAUCUCCCCGGAUCUCUUCACCAGUUCCACACAGGAGCAAAAGCGAGGACAUUUGGUGUUCCUCCCAGUUACAAAAAGAGUGAAACCAGUUGGCGCAGAGAGGAGCCGCUGCCUCUGAAGCAGCUAGCGCUGACUGAACAGUGUUCCCCGGUUUGUUUUGUUUGUCUCUUUGAAGUGGAAAUAAAGUAACAAGGCAAUCUGUAAUUAAAUGAGAUCAAAAGGUUGUGAAGAGAGUGAAAUAUUUCUGUGAGGAGAGAAGCACCUGAGAUGGCAGGAGAGCUCCGUUCACAACAGAGGACGGAAGAAGAGGAACUGAGGGAAGGGGAUUCGGGCUGCACUCAACUGUCAAACUGCCAGCAGCAUGAGAGGCUCACUGCGCAUGCAUGGCCCAACUGCUACCUGCUAUGAAAAGGUCUCUGAACCUGCAGCUCCAGGAAAGACUCAUUGCCUAGAGUGGAGCACCCACAGGGACAUCACCCAAAGAACAAACAACAACUCAUGACUCCAAGAUCUCUUCUUGAGAGAUUGACAAAGACUGGAGUGUCACUUGUGAGUCCUUGAGUGAGUGGAGGGACUCAUCCGUCUUCUCGGCAAAUAGUCUGGGCCCCUCAAGUGGCAAGUCUUCCACCAUGGAUUGCAUCUCUUUG